UACAGAGGUGCUCAAGCGUUUGUUCGGAUUCAUUGGGCGUAAAGGGUGCGUAGGCGGCGCGGUAAGUCGGGUGUGAAAUCUCGGAGCUUAACUCCGAAACUGCAUUCGAUACUGCCGUGCUUGAGGACUGGAGAGGAGACUGGAAUUUACGGUGUAGCGGUGAAAUGCGUAGAUAUCGUAAGGAAGACCAGUGGCGAAGGCGGGUCUCUGGACAGUUCCUGACGCUGAGGCACGAAGGCCAGGGGAGCAAACGGG
rnacentral:rRNA from 1 species